rnacentral:rRNA from 1 species
AUGAUCACCACCAGGAAGGACAGAUCAAUCGCAACUUAUAUUCAGGAGUUAAACCAACACAUCCAACGCCAGGAGAAUCAGAUGUGCGCAGAUAUGGAGGAUCUGCAGAAGGCUAUGGCCAAGAUCAAGGAGCUACAAGAAGAACUCAAGGCUACACGCAAAGAUUAUAUGGAAGAAAUCGUCGCUCUAGUAAGACAGAACGGUGACCUUAAGGAGAAGAUUGGAGUAUUCAUGGGAAGAUCAGCACCCAGAGGAGAAGAGGAUGAACCUACUUGUCCAGAUAACUAUAUCAUCAUCGACGACACCGACUUGGAUCCCGACGACAGCGGUGAUGACUAUGUUGAUGAAGCUGGAGCAAAUAUCAUGGAAUCUGCAUUGGAGCAGUUUUUCUAG